GUAUAUAAGUUAUAGGUGGAGCUGCAGAUCCCUGCCAGAUAAUACAGUGCGGAAAAAGCGCGUGUUUUAUUUCCACUUAGCGCUCACAGACACAGACACAGGAACAGUAGUAGUUGUAGGCACACGUACUCGUAUUGAAUGCCUGUUGACGGCUGCUUGGCCCCCAUACCCCAGGAGUCCACCCCAGGAUCCCCCAGUCCCAGAGCCAGCUGAAGCCCCCAGGAUCCCUGCCCGAGAGAAACAAUAACAACGACAACAAAGCGCCGAGAAUCGGAAAUGUUGCCGUUGAAACUGAAAUGUCGCUACGCUUCUCUCGUUUGUUUGCGGGACUGGGUGGUGGGUGCGGAGAUUAUAUUGUGGGGCCUGGGGAAGCGGGCCCAGGAGGUAGGACUACGCCCAUGUAAAAGCUGGCAGUGGUGGAGCUGUCAGAGACUUGCCUGAAUUACGAUAUUGUUAUUAUUAAAUGGAUGGGCUGCAUGCGAAAGGAAGCUGCAACUGCGACUGACUCCGCAAAGGAUGUGGAGCAGGAGGCGGGCAGGCGAGCAGGAGGAGUACGGCGAAGACGUCUGCAUGCGCUUUGAUAGUUGAGUUUUGAUCCAGAAAGGCAUUUAAUGUCUUGUUUUCAUAUUGCCAGAGACAACAGCAACAACAGCACAACGAGAAGGCCAUGAAUGGCAUGCAGUUAUGUAAAUAUGAAGACUACACAUCGCGUCAGAGCUGAAAUCAACUUGCGAUGUGCCGAUGCUCGAAACUCAAUUCAAUUUGCCCGGGCAUUGGCGUUUAAUGAAAUGCACUAAAGCAGCACAAUACAAACAAGGCGACAGCUGUGGAACGGGCCAAAGGAGCAGCCGGUGCAGGAAGAGGAACAGGAUCCAUUGCAUAGUCGUAGGCGCAGCAAUUACAUGCCACUGCAUUAGUGAGGCGCCCCCAUCCGCCAUCCUCCCUCCAAUACAACAACACAACCCGGUUGUCCUGCAGGCAUUUGCAUCUUAUCGAAUCCCUGUCACCCACAUCGCCCUCCAAGCCACGGCCCAGGACAAAGUUCAGGCUUCAAGGCGGAUUCUACUCCGGUGAAUGCUUUUUAAUUUGCAAACAUUAAGCUACAGGACGGCAGGUGUUGAGAUUUAAGGAUCUGUGUUAGAAGUCAGGGCUUCAAGAUUUCAGUUAUCCUUAGUCUAGUUAAUUAUAGUAAGACUGUAGAUAUAUCCCUCUAUCACCCAAUAACCUUCCAAUUUGCCAGCUCUUUAUUAUAAUCUUCAGAUAUAUUGUAAAGACCCAUCAGAUGAUUUCCCCUCGGGCAUAUGUCCAUGAAAUUCCUCAAUUUGUAGAUCCCCAGCUUCAUAAAUUUUCGAUGCAGAAUCUGCUGAGCGUCGGAUGAAUGGGUGGCUUGGCUUUCGGGGGAUUUAAACACUCCCGCCACGUAAUAUGCAAACACUCUAUUACCGCUGGCAAAUUCAAAUGCAUUCGGCCAUAACUCUUAUCCUUUAUGGACUUGCAACCCGGCCACCCCAGUGGCAGCAGUCCUUGUGCGAUUCCUUUUCGCCCACAAGUUGGCAACAUGUAAUCGGCCAUAAAAAAUUACAACUGAGCAUUAACCUCUGGCUGCUGCUGCUGCUGUUGCUGUGGGGGAAUCGAAACGAAUCGAAUGAAGUGGCCCGCAGAAGGAGGGUCAGAAGGGAAGUGCCCCAUCCGACAUGGCCGAUGGAGUGGCGACGACAUGGACAACAUCGUUAUUGAACGCUUAUCACUACAUGCCAUCAAAUUUUAAUGCCGAAAACCCUUUUGGGGCAGCAGCAAUGGCGGAAGAAUAGGAACAGCAGGACCUAUGGCAGCCAGAGCACAAACAGGACGAAACAUCUAAUAAGUGUUUAGGCCCAUGCCCAUGCCUUGGACUCGGACUUGGACUCGGACUCGGACUCAGACCCGGCCCAGGACAUCGGGGAGAAUGUGUUCGCUAAAAUGCAGGCCAGACCCAAAACAACCCAGGCAAAUCGCUUGCCAAAACUAAAUCUCAACUAAAGGCAAGGAGAAUGGCCAUCUCCUUGGAGCUCUCCUCCUGCCUCCUGCCUCCAGCCUUUUCAAGGAGCCGCAGAGCGAGUGCACAAAAGCCAAGUCAAAUGGACAUUGGAUAAAUAACUACUGAGUUAUGGGUGGCGUGGCCCGGUCCCUUGGCUGACAUCUUCGGAUCGGAUCGGAGUCUCUGACUGGGACGCAGAGAGAUGCCGAAUAUCUCCAUGUAGCAAUCAGCUGGCAGAAUGCAAAAGUGCCGGAGGAGGAGAGCAGUCGCCACGCCAUUGAAUCAAAUUUUGCAAAUCCUCGACGACAAAAGACAAGCCAAGCACAAGCAAGGACGGAGCAGGAGCCCCCUCCUCCCUCCGGCUGUGACAGGAGCAACCGCAGCAGGAAAGAAGUCGCAUUCGAUAGAGAGGAUGUGGAUGUGGAUGUCCUCCUGUCCGAGAAGGGGAGCGUGAUGGGGUCUGCGGAAUUGAGCAGUCAAUAGGCCAGGGUGCUAUCUGUGCGUCAAGGGGUGGUUAAGAUUUUUUGUCGUAUUCAAUUUCGUUGUUUAUGUUCAUUCUUUUUACUUUUGUGGCUAACGAGAAUCCUGUCCAGAGCACA